rnacentral:rRNA from 1 species
CCCCCUGGCCGCGUGCCUAUACAUGCAAGUCGAACGAACUCUGGUAUUGAUUGGUGCUUGCAUCAUGAUUUACAUUUGAGUGAGUGGCGAACUGGUGAGUAACACGUGGGAAACCUGCCCAGAAGCGGGGGAUAACACCUGGAAACAGAUGCUAAUACCGCAUAACAACUUGGACCGCAUGGUCCGAGUUUGAAAGAUGGCUUCGGCUAUCACUUUUGGAUGGUCCCGCGGCGUAUUAGCUAGAUGGUGAGGUAACGGCUCACCAUGGCAAUGAUACGUAGCCGACCUGAGAGGGUAAUCGGCCACAUUGGGACUGAGACACGGCCCAAACUCCUACGGGAGGCAGCAGUAGGGAAUCUUCCACAAUGGACGAAAGUCUGAUGGAGCAACGCCGCGUGAGUGAAGAAGGGUUUCGGCUCGUAAAACUCUGUUGUUAAAGAAGAACAUAUCUGAGAGUAACUGUUCAGGUAUUGACGGUAUUUAACCAGAAAGCCACGGCUAACUACGUGCCAGCAGCCGCGGUAAUACGUAGGUGGCAAGCGUUGUCCGGAUUUAUUGGGCGUAAAGCGAGCGCAGGCGGUUUUUUAAGUCUGAUGUGAAAGCCUUCGGCUCAACCGAAGAAGUGCAUCGGAAACUGGGAAACUUGAGUGCAGAAGAGGACAGUGGAACUCCAUGUGUAGCGGUGAAAUGCGUAGAUAUAUGGAAGAACACCAGUGGCGAAGGCGGCUGUCUGGUCUGUAACUGACGCUGAGGCUCGAAAGUAUGGGUAGCAAACAGGAUUAGAUACCCUGGUAGUCCAUACCGUAAACGAUGAAUGCUAAGUGUUGGAGGGUUUCCGCCCUUCAGUGCUGCAGCUAACGCAUUAAGCAUUCCGCCUGGGGAGUACGGCCGCAAGGCUGAAACUCAAAGGAAUUGACGGGGGCCCGCACAAGCGGUGGAGCAUGUGGUUUAAUUCGAAGCUACGCGAAGAACCUUACCAGGUCUUGACAUACUAUGCAAAUCUAAGAGAUUAGACGUUCCCUUCGGGGACAUGGAUACAGGUGGUGCAUGGUUGUCGUCAGCUCGUGUCGUGAGAUGUUGGGUUAAGUCCCGCAACGAGCGCAACCCUUAUUAUCAGUUGCCAGCAUUAAGUUGGGCACUCUGGUGAGACUGCCGGUGACAAACCGGAGGAAGGUGGGGAUGACGUCAAAUCAUCAUGCCCCUUAUGACCUGGGCUACACACGUGCUACAAUGGAUGGUACAACGAGUUGCGAACUCGCGAGAGUAAGCUAAUCUCUUAAAGCCAUUCUCAGUUCGGAUUGUAGGCUGCAACUCGCCUACAUGAAGUCGGAAUCGCUAGUAAUCGCGGAUCAGCAUGCCGCGGUGAAUACGUUCCCGGGCCUUGUACACACCGCCCGUCACACCAUGAGAGUUUGUAACACCCAAAGUCGGUGGGGUAACCUUUUAGGAACCAGCCGCCUAAGGUGAACAAGGAUUGG